rnacentral:rRNA from 1 species
AUUGAACGCUGGCGGCAUGCCUUACACAUGCAAGUCGAACGGCAGCAUAGAGAGCUUGCUCUCUGAUGGCGAGUGGCGAACGGGUGAGUAAUGCAUCGGAACGUACCGUGUAAUGGGGGAUAACGUAGCGAAAGUUACGCUAAUACCGCAUACGACCUGAGGGUGAAAGCAGGGGAUCGCAAGACCUUGCGUUAUACGAGCGGCCGAUGUCAGAUUAGCUAGUUGGUGAGGUAAAGGCUCACCAAGGCGACGAUCUGUAGCGGGUCUGAGAGGAUGAUCCGCCACACUGGGACUGAGACACGGCCCAGACUCCUACAGGAGGCAGCAGUGGGGAAUUUUGGACAAUGGGGGCAACCCUGAUCCAGCCAUGCCGCGUGAGUGAAGAAGGCCUUCGGGUUGUAAAGCUCUUUCGGCCGGGAAGAAAUCGCACAGGCUAAUACUCUGUGUGGAUGACGGUACCGGCAUAAGAAGCACCGGCUAACUACGUGCCAGCGGCCGCAGUAA